UCGGUCUUUAAGUCAUCGUGAAAGGACGAUUCAGUCUGUUUGAAACAAAACAGAACUGAAUGUAAUUAUUUCUUUCUGUGCAUUAUUUCCCACAUAUUUUUUAUUAGUUUUUUGUUUUUCCAGAAGGAGAUCUCCUGCGCACUUGGUGCUAAUGCAAAUGUCUCAUCACCAUUAUGCGCUGCAGCUGCUGUGAAUGUUAAAUGAUUCAAACUUGAGGUGAAAAUGGAUUCUCCGAAACGAGCUCAUGUCAUGGAGAGAAAAAUGAGCUCCAUCGCAUCAUAAACGUCUGUCGGUGGCUCAAAGACACUCGUCAUGCAGAGCAGAUGAUGUGAAAAACCCUCCAUGUCUCAAGGCAAUACGGCAACUGCAACAGGAGACAGAUUAAAGCCUGUGUGGCAGUUGAGACACUUUCUGAAGAUGUAGACACCCUUGAGGCUAAUGCUGUUUAAACAAUAACUAUAUUAAUGAAGACUAACAUGCAGCAAUGAAGUGUCUUCUGGAGUUCUUCUAUGUUUGUGAGUAGUAAAAUAAGCAAAACAUCCCCUCUCCAGCUCAGGGCCAGACAGCUGCCUCCCUGCCCAGCUAUGGCUCCCCCUAGCCGUGCCUCCAUAUUUCCUUGUUAAUGCACACCAUAAUGCCCUGACCCUCCCUGAUCUAUCACACUGUAAAGACAUCAAAAUACACCUGAAAACCUCAAUUUUUCAGUCUAAAUGUGAAAUAUACAGUCUCUACUGCCUCCCAGUAAGUAUUUGGCACCAUUGGCCUCAGCAGAAGAGAGGAUUUCUUACCUUUUGAGAGUGGCUAUGUCUAUGCCUCUCUCUCCAAUGUCCCAACCUCGGCAGCCUUCGUCUUCUUCCCAGCAAUCCCUGCAAAAAAGGACACUUCCAUGUAUGUUGAAUAUGCAGGGGUGAUCAAAUUCGACUAAACCAUUUCUAAAGAGGCCAGAGAACCCCUAAUUCCCAGAAAUUGCCCUAUUGGCCUUAGAUAGACAUAAGCUCCAAUAUUAAAUUUUAAAAUGGCAUUUUAGUGGUCUUAAACAGCAAAGCCCACUCCUCAAAUACACCAAGUCAUACCCCUAUGAUUUCAACUUAUUGUGGUCCAUCCAGUAGUCAUACAGUUGAUACUGAAGAGCAAUUGUCAGAAAGUGCGCAGCUGAACUCUCAGGCGCUUUCUGCAGCCUUUUGUGCGUUUGCCAAGCCCUGGAGCAUCUUUGAGAGGCUACAGAUAGUCCAUUCGUGGUAUUUAUGAGUCAAAGAGACCCCUUUCUUGUGGACUGGACCACAAAAACGGGAAGAAAUAUAUUUUCAUGUGCGUUGAAUCCAACAACGCAAAAAGAGAACCAUGGAUCCAAAUGGACCUCUCCAAAAGUGCACAAGUGUAUCCAAAGGCACAGAGAGAACUCCAAAGGCUCCAAGCGGGAAAAAAGGAGUUUAACAAGCUUAAAAGCUCUGGUUGAGUGGAGAGCCUCUACUCCAAACUUCUCAAGGACUGUACUGACUGAAGUGGAAGGUGAAGGAUCCUGACGUCUGGAGGUUCACAGAGCGACGCUCCAGAUGAGUUUCCUUACUGCAAUAUUUGAAGAACAGUAGUGGUCUGUUGUUUGGUGGUCUCUGUCGUGGAAAUUAUAUUCCUGGUGAAGGGUUGAGCAAAUAGUUGAGUUACAACAAACCGUUGUCUUUGAAGAAUUUAUUUAACAAAAGAGAAUAAACAGAGAAGUACUACAACACAAAUCAGCUCGACCAGAGGAAUUCAGGAGUCUCCAGCAAUACGAGGACCUUUAGAAGUAUUGCUUCUUUGCAUCCACCAAGGCUGUCUGUGUGUUUGUGCAUGUCUCUUUCUCUCUGUUAGUCUGUAGAUUAAUGAAGUUAAUGGUAGGAAGCACUGCCAGCUGUGACUGAUGGGUGGCAGCAGGCAGCAUUCUUGUGUCUGAACUGUAUUUGUUGGAUUAAGACUAAAGUGUGAGAAGUGGCUCUGGAAACUCUAUUAAUGCCAGUUCUUUAAAUAUACAUUUGAAAGACAUUCAGAAGUGGAACGAAACCUCUAAGGAUUUAAUUUAAGACUUAACGGGGAUUUAAAGGUGGGCUAUGCGAUUCUAAUCCAACACACAUCUUUUUGUCAAAGUAAGCGAAUAUCUCCUCACAGUCCGCUAGUUGUCCAUUCUGAGUGUGAAAAGACUUUCAACUCUUAUGGUCACUCGUGGAUGGUGGAGCUGACAUAUUGAUGUAUCUCUGCUGCUGACAUGCCAAGGGGGUGUUGUGCAUUUACUUUUGAAGCUAGGGAGCCAUUCAAGCACUGCCUCUGUGUCUGUGGAAAGCUGUUAUCUCCCAGUCUGCCUUUUGGAGCAGUUAUUUUAGGUGCAGACGACUGGGUCACACAAGCUUUCUUUACAACAUCCUCCUCCCUCUCAGGCAGGUGGCAUUUGUUUCUUUCCCUGGAUUCAAAAUAAAGAAUUUGAAACAGAUAA